UACGAAGGGGGCAAGCGUUGUUCGGAAUUACUGGGCGUAAAGGGCGCGUAGGCGGCGUGUCAAGUCAGGCGUGAAAGCCCCGGGCUCAACCUGGGAACCGCGCUUGAGACUGGCAUGCUCGAGUUCGGGAGAGGAUGGUGGAAUUCCCAGUGUAGAGGUGAAAUUCGUAGAUAUUGGGAAGAACACCGAUGGCGAAGGCAGCCAUCUGGACCGACACUGACGCUGAGGCGCGAAAGCGUGGGGAGCAAACAGG
rnacentral:rRNA from 1 species